rnacentral:tRNA from 1 species
GUGCGUCCGUCGAGGUUGGUUGCGACCGGCUUCGGAGGUCGGCAAUCGUUUGCACGCAGACCCGGACUUCGGUUUUAUCCGGAGGCGCACCC